UCUAAUCCAGUAUUGGAUAUGCGUUCAAACUGUUAUAAGCUAGUGAUUCAUGUUGAAUCUCAAACUGUACCUAUUUCCAUUAUUCGUAAAAGCCAGUUUUGGCAAUUUUGGUUUCUGCAAGGUGGGUGAAUUUUAGUAACAAAAAGGCUCGAAGAUAAGAGCCCAUGAAGACCAAAUAUCCUCUGAUGAACUCCUUAGAAAGAUUAAUUGAUUCGGAUUCCCGCCAAACCGAAUUGACCUUCCAAGAACAUGUCUCUCUUCAUUCCCAUCUAAAAGCAUAUCCAUUUCCCAUCCCAUAGAUCCGUUAUUUGAGAUGAAAAUCAGUCCAGUACAAUGACUAUCAAUCACCAACCUGUGAUGAACCUGGGAAAUUUCUUAACACUUAUCUCUACCAGAAAAAAGUUUUACUGGCUAUUUGCCGAUCUACCAAAUGGAAGUUCCCAUUCGCGAGAUUUCUGAUUUCUCUGAUACUCCUUUUAGUGACAUGGAGUAUGAAGAAGUAGACACCACACAAACCACGCAUUUUUCCAAUAUGUCCAUAAACGACUCCCUCACUUCUGUCUCGCUCGAUUUGGAGGAAACCCUUACGGAUAUUGAAGAUGACUUUUUAUUGGACGAUGUCAGUUCUGAUCUAGAAGAUAACGCGGAUUUUACGGAUGAGGAUGAAGAUUCAAGUUCGAAGCCGGAAGACAAAGAAGAAUCAAGAAACGAAAACAUCGCAGCCAGCAGGUCCCCAACCAAGGGCGUCAAAAAAUGUUCCCCGGGACGCCAAAAAUGAUUGAACUCCCUUCGAACAGGAGGAACAACAUCAAAUGAUACUAAGACAUGGUCUAUAA